UACGUAGGGGGCGAGCGUUGUCCGGAUUUAUUGGGCGUAAAGAGCGUGUAGGCGGCCAGGUAGGUCUGCUGUGAAAACUCGAGGCUUAACCUCGAGCUGUCGGCGGAAACCAUCUGGCUAGAGUCCGGAAGAGGAGAAUGGAAUUCCCGGUGUAGCGGUGAAAUGCGCAGAUAUCGGGAAGAACACCCGUGGCGAAGGCGGUUCUCUGGGACGGUAGCUGACGCUGAGACGCGAAAGCGUGGGGAGCGAACAGG
rnacentral:rRNA from 1 species